rfam:Schistosoma mansoni, Puerto Rico, WGS project CABG01000000 data, contig: 0242
GCACUGCUUAAGAGUCCCAUGAUGGGACGAAACGGCCGUCCAGUGU